AGGAAAAAAAAAAUCUUUUCGCACCCAAAACGGCUUCUUUUGGCCCCACCAUUUGCCCACGUGAUUACUCGCGUUAUUCCCCCCACGUUGCCCUUGCGCUAAGUUACAGCCUCUGGAUGUUUUGGGGCCAAUCCAAUGCUCCUGGGGUUUUCAUGCUGACAGGUGCUUCGGUUGUCUUCCCUCCUUUCUCUCAUUUUAUCUCUGCCAAAAUGCUUCAUUGGCCGUCCUCCUCCGCCCUCUGAGAUUACGACUUGCAGCGACCACUUUUAGACUUCGUUUCUCCAUACCUUGGAAGCUAAGCAUUCCUUCUUGUUCUUCUUUUAUCUUUUCGAUUUCGGUUCAAAAUAGUUUAGGGAAUCCGUAUGUUUUCUUCAAUUUUUGACUUAGAUUGAUUGAUCUCAUACUAAACAUGUGAGUUCAAUCAAUUGAAGUCUAACAAAAAGGAAAAAAACCGAUCAGAUGGUAUGUUAACUCAAGACAUUUUUUUUGUAAGAUUAAUUGACGGAACUCGAAGCCUUGAAAGUUACCUUAAAUUGUGAACGGCUAGGGACGCAAGAUGUGGCAAAUAAACUUCUUGUUUAUGACAUUCCUUAGACAGCCAGAUAUGCAUUUCUUAUAUGCCACGUUUCCAUUAAAACUUGGUGUGUUCAGACAAUAUAACCUAGCCAUCAUAGAAAUCCUGCAACAAUAGUUGACAGGGAAUAUAGAGUUUCUCUUAAAUCUAUACCCAAUUCAAGUACAUAUGCAUCUUUAAUAUUAUAAAUGUCUAUUAUGGAUUAGGAUAACACUUCAAUCUGAUUUGUACUUCUAGAAAACCUCUUUUCUCCAGAUCUGUGUAUAUUGUGGGGAAAAACAAUUCAUUGUUUCAGCAUAUCAACAACGAAGACUUUUUUAAUUUGAAUAUUACCCUUUUUUAUAGUUGUACUUGAUAUCUAUCAUUUAAGGAUCAUGACUAAAAUUCAACAUAAGCAAGAAAUUAAUAACAGUGUGCAAUAUCCCACUGCAUUAUGUUCAAUUCGAAACCCAAGCUGUAGAAAUAGCAGUUCAGAUUGUGAUUAUAGUAAAUGAUGCCUCAAAGAUAUUGGUGUCAAGAAAGAGCCCAACUGCAGGGAAGAAGAGAGUAAAGAGGGGAAGGACCAAAGAGUAUAUCUGUUAUUCACUUAACAAAUAAAGUGUAAUGGUAACUUAAUGUAAAGAUGCAUAUUUGUGCUUGUUUUUUUUUCAUUGAUUUUUCAGUUUGGAAUAGUCUAUUGUAAUAUGACAAUUCUCACCUAAUUAGACGAUUUGUUUAGGUAUUUCUAUCUCUCUUUAUAAUCUUCUUCCCAAAUCCCUUCCUGCCCUAGUUCUUUUGUCAUGUUCUGUUACUGCAAUAUGACUAUAUUGGUUCAACUACAGAUUUUUCAUGUAGGAAAUUUUUCUUUGUAUAUUUUUUCAGUGUUUUAUGUGCUUAUUUCUAAUUUUGAAUUAAUUAUUUUUUGGGAUGUGUAAAAAUAUUACAUGGAUAAUUUUGGAACAUGCUUUUCUUAUUACUUAGUUUUUGAACUUGAGUUUCGGCAUCUAUAUUUCUUUUUCCAUAGUAUUCUUGCUUAUGUGUGCUCUUCCAUCAUUAGUAGCAUAAUGCAUUGCUAAUGGAAAUGCAGAAGAAAUUGGUUCGUUUCAUCACCUUAACUAGAUGCAGAGACAUUUAAUCUUGGAUUCAAGCUGUGGUGAAGUCAAUGAAUCAGUGAUCCCUUACCCUGUGGAUGAAGGAUACGAAGUUUUUGUUGUUGGAAAUUGAAAACUGAGUGAAAUCACAAGAUCCUUCUUUUGUGUUGGUGUUACAAAUGAUUAACGGCCCUAGCAAAAGCAUUCAUUGACCUUCUUUCUUUGCUUGAGCUCUGUUUUUUCCAUUCUAAAGCUUCCAAGGCCAGAACAAUUAUUCAGCAUUGUUUCUGAGGGAGUGUGUCCCAUGCAACCAUGAAAAACUGAUUAUGUGUUCAAAGUGUUAUAAAAAUUUCUGAAGCUUCUGCGAAGAUGGAAGACUUUUAUGAUCUUAUGUUAAAUGUCAAGGGCUUAAAAAUUCCAGGGGAUAGUCUAGACGAUUACCUUAGUCUGGAAGAGCUUCAUGGAGAUAUUCAGUAUUUUUGCAAAUCAUGUAGAGCAUUAGUUGAUGCUGCUUGGAGUAUCAAGCUAUGGUCACUUGGUGAAAUUCUUAAAGGCAUUGUGUUUUCCUUCCAAAGCAAUUUCAGAGAGAUGAAGAGGUAUGUAAGAAGAUUUUUUUACGUGGUGGGGAGAGUGCUCCCAUGAGAAGAAAGAAAGACAGUGGUUAUCAAUUGCUACUACCAGAUCGGUAAACAAUUUUAUGAUUGCAUUAAAAAAUCUAUGAUUUGAGCAUGCAUAUUGACACACUCUAAAGUGGAUCUACCCCAUUCCUGUUAAAGUCCAAUCCCAUUCCAACUCAUUAUUAUUCAGCCCAUAUUUAUUGUUUUUCAAUUCCCUUCCUACCCAUUUCUAUUCCACCCAUUUUUAGAUUCUUGUUAGAUCAAGCAAUUGGACACAACAAACACUGAGGGGCAUGCCGAGUCAUUUCUGUCCUUAUUGGAUUAUUGAUAUAAUUUAGUAUUCUAUAAUCCGGAGGCUGUGACAUAAAUAGAAACAAAUGAACAAACAAUGAUUUAAAUAUCUAA